GUGCCCACUGAACCAAAAGCUGGCUAGUGGUUGGCAUUAAAAAGACGUGCCCACUGAACCAAAAGCCGGCUAGUGGUUGGCAUUAAAAGGACGUGCCCACUGAACCAUAAGCUGACUAGUGGUUGGCAUUAAAAGGACGUGCCAACUGAGCCAAAAGCCAGCUGUUGGUUGGCAUUAAAAGGAUGUGCCCACUGAGUCAAAAGUCAGGUAGUGGUUGGCAUUAAAAGGACGUGCCCACUGAGCCUAAAGCCAGCUGGUGGUUGGCAUUAAAGGUUAAAAGGAAAUGGUUGGACCACGGAGGAGGUUAGAACCUGGUGGGGCUUAUGAAUUGAACAUAUGUAAUUGGUCAGUUUGAGAUUGGCAAGAACAUUUAACGUGUUAUUUCUUGCUGUUAUCGGUUAUAAAGAGUUAUACAUUUAUAAUAAAGAAGGAUGUGGUAUACAGUAUUUACAUGUUUAAUAACUGCUAUGGCCUGUUUUAUGCAAGUCGAUGUCUCAUUAUUGGGUGAGGUUGCGAGUAGGUUGUGUUUGGAUUGCUAUUGUUAUCCAGUGUCCACUACGUACAUAGAUGAGGUGUACGGCAUUUAUUAAAAGUAGAAGAAUGGAAUUGCGUUGAGUCUGGCAACAUCUCCAUUAAUGCUCCCACGCGGUUCAUGACUCCCAUAAAAUGGUAACCGCAGAGUGUAUUAUAUCACACAGUGUCUGACUCUGCUCCAACUUCCUUCACUCUCAACAUGCCUCCUGGCCCCUCAUAGUACGGAGACGUAUACUCACGGUGACCAUAGCAACUAUCCACACCGCGUAGUAUCCUCAAAUAACUUCUCAGGCACAUGGGUGGGUCAAGGUAAAAUAAGGCAUCACAAGAACAAUGUAUUUUGUGGGCCUUUUGCCUCUUGGUAUGUUACAGGUAAAACAAAAACUCAUUGAACCACUUUACCUGUGAAAAUAGUUGUAGUAGAAAUAUCUGCUCCAGUAGUGUGAGAUAUAGCUAUUCCAGGUGAAGUAACAGUUGUGGUAGUUGAGGAAAACGUUGUGGGAGAAGUUUCAAAAACUGUUGUUUGGGGAGCAGUUGUGGUUGUUUGGGGUGCAGUGGUGGUUGUUUGUUGUACAAUUGAGGUUGUUUGUGGUACAGUGGUGGUUGUUUGGGGAGCAGUUGUGGUUGUUUGGGGUACAGUGGUGGUUAUUUGAGGUACAGUGGUGGUUGUUUGGGGUGCAGCUGUGGUUGUUUGGGGAGCAUUGGUGGUUGUUUGGGGUGCAGUUGAGGUUGUUUGGGCUUCAGUUGUGGUUGUUUGGGGUUCAGUUGUGGUUGUUUGGGGAUCAGCGGUGGUUGUUUGGGGAGCAGUUGUGGUUGUUUGGGGUGCAGUUGUGGUUGUUUGGGCUUCAGUUGUGGUUGUUUGGGGAGCAGCGGUGGUUGUUUGGGGAGCAGUUGUGGUUGUUUGGGGAGCAUUGGUGGUUG